AGAGUUUGAUCCUGGCUCAGGACGAACGCUGGCGGCGUGCUUAACACAUGCAAGUCGAACGAGGUUCAACGAGAAGCUUGCUUCUCAUUGAACCGAGUGGCAAACGGGUGAGUAACGCGUAAACAACCUGCCCUACGGAUGGGGACAACAGCUGGAAACGGCUGCUAAUACCGAAUACGAUCAUGAAGCCGCAUGACUUUAUGAUGAAAGGAUGGCCUCUAUUUAUAAGCUAUCGCCGGAGGAGGGGUUUGCGUCUGAUUAGCUAGUUGGAGGGGUAACGGCCCACCAAGGCGAUGAUCAGUAGCCGGUCUGAGAGGACGAACGGCCACAUUGGAACUGAGACACGGUCCAGACUCCUACGGGAGGCAGCAGUGGGGAAUCUUCCGCAAUGGGCGAAAGCCUGACGGAGCAACGCCGCGUGAGUGAUGACGGCCUUCGGGUUGUAAAGCUCUGUUAUAUGGGACGAACGUGCCUGUGGUCAAUACCCAUAGGCAGUGACGGUACCGUAAGAGAAAGCCACGGCUAACUACGUGCCAGCAGCCGCGGUAA
rnacentral:rRNA from 1 species